UCCCUGGUGGUCUAGUGGUUAGGACUCAGUGCUUUCAAUGCUGCUGCCUGGGUUCAAUACCAGACCUGGGAA
rnacentral:tRNA from 1 species